rnacentral:rRNA from 1 species
AGAGUUUGAUUAUGGCUCAGGAUGAACGCUGGCGGCGUGCCUAACACAUGCAAGUCGAGCGAUUCUCUUCGGAGAAGAGCGGCGGACGGGUGAGUAACGCGUGGGUAACCUGCCUCAUACACAUGGAUAACAUACCGAAAGGUAUGCUAAUACAGGAUAAUAUAAGAGAUUCACAUGGAUUUCUUAUCAAAGCUCCGGCGGUAUGAGAUGGACCCGCGUCUGAUUAGCUAGUUGGUAAGGUGACGGCUUACCAAGGCGACGAUCAGUAGCCGACCUGAGAGGGUGAUCGGCCACAUUGGAACUGAGACACGGUCCAAACUCCUACGGGAGGCAGCAGUGGGGAAUAUUGCACAAUGGGCGAAAGCCUGAAUGCAGCAACGCCGCGUGAGUGAUGAAGGCCUUCGGGUCGUAAAACCCUGUCCUCAAGGAAGAUAAUGACGGUACUUGAGGAGGAAGCCCCGGCUAACUACGUGCCAGCCGCCGC